rnacentral:rRNA from 1 species
CGUAGGGGGCUAGCGUUGUCCGGAUUUAUUGGGCGUAAAGAGCGUGUAGGCGGCCGGCUAGGUCUGGUGUGAAAACUCGAGGCUCAACCUCGAGAUGUCGCCGGAAACCAGUCGGCUAGAGUCCGGAAGAGGAGAGUGGAAUUCCUGGUGUAGCGGUGAAAUGCGCAGAUAUCAGGAAGAACACCUAUGGCGAAAGCAGCUCUCUGGGACGGUACUGACGCUGAGACGCGAAAGCGUGGGGAGCGAACAGGAUUAGAUACCCUGGUAGUCCACGCCGUAAACGAUGGGCGCUAGGUGUGGGCGGUGUCGACUCCGUCCGUGCCGAAGCUAACGCAUUAAGCGCCCCGCCUGGGGAGUACGGCCGCAAGGCUA